rnacentral:rRNA from 1 species
CCUACGGGAGGCAGCAGUAGGGAAUCUUCCGCAAUGGACGAAAGUCUGACGGAGCAACGCCGCGUGAACGAUGAAGGCCUUCGGGUCGUAAAGUUCUGUUGUUAGGGAAGAACAAGUGCUAGUUGAAUAAGCUGGCACCUUGACGGUACCUAACCAGAAAGCCACGGCUAACUACGUGCCAGCAGCCGCGGUAAUACGUAGGUGGCAAGCGUUGUCCGGAAUUAUUGGGCGUAAAGCGCGCGCAGGCGGUUUCUUAAGUCUGAUGUGAAAGCCCCCGGCUCAACCGGGGAGGGUCAUUGGAAACUGGGAAACUUGAGUGCAGAAGAGGAAAGUGGAAUUCCAAGUGUAGCGGUGAAAUGCGUAGAGAUUUGGAGGAACACCAGUGGCGAAGGCGACUUUCUGGUCUGUAACUGACGCUGAGGCGCGAAAGCGUGGGGAGCAAACAGGAUUAGAUACCCUGGUAGUCCACGCUGUAAACGAUGAGUGCUAAGUGUUAGAGGGUUUCCGCCUUUAGUGCUGAAGUUAACGNAUUAGNCNCGCGNGGNGAGUCGNGAG